rnacentral:rRNA from 1 species
GUAGCCGCAGUGAAAGCGAGCCUGAAGAGGGCGCACAGUCAGUGGGGGUAGACGCGAAACCAAGUGAUCUACACUUGGCCAGGAUGAAGUCCCGGUAACACGGGAUGGAGGUCCGCACCAAUAAGCGUUGAAAAGCUUCUGGAUGAGCCGAGUGUAGGAGUGAAAGGCCAAUCAAACUUGGAGAUAGCUCGUACUCCCCGAAAGGCAUUUAGGUGCCGCGUCGGAUGGUCACCGUGAGAGGUAGAGCGACCGAUAGGACAAGAGGGCUUCACCGCCUAUCGAGUCCUGACGAACUCCGAAUGCUCACGGUCUGCAGUCCGGCAGUAAGGGGGCGGGUGCUAAGGUCCGUCCCCGAGAGGAGAAGAAUCCAGACCGCCGUCUAAGGUCCCGGAGUUCUGCCUGAGUUAGUCUAACGAAGUCUGGUCCCUAUGACAGCUAGGAUGUUGGCUUGGAAGCAGCCAUUCAUUCAAAGAGUGCGUAACAGCUCACUAGUCGAGGGUCCGGGCAUGGAUAAUAAUCGGGUAUAAGGCAGACACCGAAGGCGCGGGAUAGCAAUUAUAAAAGUAUCGGUAGGGGAGCAUACUCACAGCGUCGAAUGGUGUACGUAAGUUAUCCUGGAGCGGUGAGUAAAGCAAAUGUAGGAAUAAGUAACGAUAAGGAGGGUUAGAUUCCCUCCCGCUGUAAGACCAAGGUUUCCCGGGCAAUGCCAAUCAGCCCGGGGUCAGUCGGGUCCUAAGUCUAAGCCGAACGGCGAUGGCGAUGGCAGAGACGGUUAAUAUUCCGUCACUGCCGCAUGGGGCGACGUGGAGACGGAGCAGUGAAACCACCGCGGGGCGACGGAAGUCCCCGUUGAAGAGUGUAGGCGUUGAGGAUGGCAGGCAAAUCCACCAUCCGAAACGAGAAGGCGUGAAGCGUACGGAAAGCUACGGCGAGUACGGAAGGCAGUGGAGGAACUUCCAAGAAAAGUUUCUAACGUUAAGUAUAUAUGGCCCGUACCGAAAAUGGACACACAUGGGUGAGGAGAGAAUCCUAAGGUGAGCGAGAGAACUAUAGCUAAGGAACUCUGCAAAAUGACUCCGUAACUUAGGGAGAAGGAGUGCUCAUAGAGAUAUGAGCCGCAGUGAAACGGCCCAAGCGACUGUUUACCAAAAACACAGCUCUCUGCUAAGCCGCAAGGCGAAGUAUAGGGGGUGACGCCUGCCCGGUGCUGGAAGGUUAAGGGGAGGGGUUAACGCAAGUGAAGCCCUGAACUGAAGCCCCAGUAAACGGCGGCCGUAACUAUAACGGUCCUAAGGUAGCGAAAUUCCUUGUCAGGUAAGUUCUGACCCG